GAUGAACGCUGGCGGCGUGCCUAAUACAUGCAAGUCGAGCGAACGGACGAGAAGCUUGCUUCUCUGAUGUUAGCGGCGGACGGGUGAGUAACACGUGGAUAACCUACCUAUAAGACUGGGAUAACUUCGGGAAACCGUAGCUAAUACCGGAUAAUAUUUUGAACCGCAUGGUUCAAAAGUGAAAGACGGUCUUGCUGUCACUUAUAGAUGGAUCCGCGCUGCAUUAGCUAGUUGGUAAGGUAACGGCUUACCAAGGCAACGAUGCAUAGCCGACCUGAGAGGGUGAUCGGGCAGACGGGAACUGAGACACGGUGCAGACUCCUACGGGAGGCAGCAGUAGGGAAGCUUCCGCAAUGGGCGAAAGCCUGACGGAGCAACGCCGCGUGAGUGAUGAAGGUCUUCGGAUCGUAAAACUCUGUUAUGAGGGAAGAACAUAUGUGUAAGUAACUGUGCACAUCUUGACGGUACCUAAUCAGAAAGCCACGGCUAACUACGUG
rnacentral:rRNA from 1 species